AGGCUGUGAUUAGUACAGGAUGCUGUGUGCGUAGAGGCUAUGAUUAGUACAGGAUACUGUGUGCGUAGAGGCUGUGAUUAGUACAGGAUUCUGUGUGUGUGUAUGGAGGCGGUGAUUAGUAAAGGGAUGCUGUGUGCGUAGAGGCUGUGAUUAGUACAGGAUUCUGUGUCCGUAGAGGCUGUGAUUAGUACAGGAUACUGUGUGCGUAGAGGCUCUGAUUGGUAAAGGGAUUCUGUGUCCGUACAGGCUGUGAUUAGUACAGGAUACUGUGUGCGUAGAGGCUGUGAUUAGUACAGGGUACUGUGUGCGUAGAGGCUGUGAUUAGUACAUGAUGCUGGGUAGAGGCUGUGAUUUGUACAUGAUGCUGUGUAGAGGCUGUGAUUAGUACAUGAUGCUGGGUAGAGGAUGUGAUUUGUACAGGCUGCUGUGUGUAGAGGCUUUGAUUAGUACAUGAUUAUGUGUAGUGGCUGUGAUUAGUACAGGAUGCUGAGUGUGUAGAGGCUUUGAUUAGUACAUGAUUCUGUGUAGUGGCUGUGAUUAGUACAGGAUGCUGAGUGUGUAGAGGCUUUGAUUAGUACAUGAUUAUGUGUAGUGGCUGUGAUUAGUACAGGAUGCUGAGUGUGUAGAGGCUUUGAUUAGUACAUGAUUCUGUGUAGUGGCUGUGAUUAGUACAGG